AAUUUAAGAUGAAUUCACUGCUUCUGGUAUCGUUCUUGUUGAUAUUUUAUCCUUUGUCUGUUGAUUCAGCAUCUUCUUCGAAAGAUGAACGUUCAUCAGUGGAAAAAACACUCAAAGGCAUACUUGACAAAAUUUACACACUUGGUAUGGAGGUGGGAAAGGGUGAAGAAAUUGUGAAAUUCUAUACAGAGAACUGUGUAUUGAUUAAUCAAGGUGUUCCGGCAAUAAAUGGCAAAUGCACACUUGCAGACGUUGCAAAAGUUUUAUUUUGUAUUUUCACGAUAUCGUUUAGAGUUGUUACAUCUCUACAAAACCGUUUUUAAUAGAACAACAAUUAUUAAAAAGGUUAACGUUUUUAUGGACGACGUUUAUGACAUGGGAGACAUUGUUACUCUUAGAUACCACGCGACCAACCAUAUAGCAGAUUGCAGUGCCCUUUACACUACCCGACUAAUCAUCGUUUGGAAAAAGAUCAAGGGCAAAUACUUGAUUCACAAUCAAGUUUCAAAUGAGCGAGAGAACAUGUGUCCUAAAUGAUUGUUAAACUCAGCAUUGGAGGAAACAAGACACUACAUUUAUUUGUCUUAUUACUAAAUUUCUAGAUAAAAUGAGCUUUGUAGACUUUCAAUUUGAAUUCCAUUUUGAAACAUCUUUAUUACAAAA